UUUCUAUGCAUCACUAUGCCAGAUCAUUUUCUUUUCCGAUGGGUAGAAAGUCACUGGUUUUCCUCCUAAAUCGAAUUCUUUUUUUCUAGGAAAGCUCCUCAAAUGUCACUUUACUAAUAUUGUUUCUUUGCAAGCAGGGAUUUUAAACGGAGGACAUAAACCAGCAACCUCCCCACUCACAGGUAUUUCUCCAAUUUAACUUUCUGUGCUGUAGACUGGGCCAUGGCCUGAAAAAGGCAGUGAGUUGGUCAGCCAGUGUAAAUGACCAAACCAGACAUGUACUGGUCCCAUUCAGACACCCUGAGAACUUAGUGUGUGCAAACAUUUCUGGCUGUGUCCUGUGAGAUCAUCGUAUGUAAUCUAUCUGUUUCUAGCAGCAGAGAGCCAUGAGGAUAUAUUUCAUGAGGAGUAUUUUGAAAUACGUUUCUACAAACCAUUCUCUUACAUGAAAUGAAGUGACCCUCAUUUGGAGUAACAGGCACGCAAGAAAGAUUCUCACACUUGUUUUCCCUGUGCUUCUGUUUCUUGUCUUCCUAGUGGGCUGUUCAUUGCAAUGAUUAUGAGUCUGCUCUUCCCUGUGUUAUUGAGGUUCACAGCUGGGGUUCUUUUCUGGAUUUUCAUCUUUGGUGUGAUUGGAAUUAUGGGUUAUGGUAGGUGUAAUCCUCCAGCCUCUGAGGCUGUUUUUCCUUACUGCUUAAUUUUGGGCAAAUAAAGUAAGUGAUUACAUCAAUUAAAUGCUAUAGCUGUGAGAACUAGUGCCUAGGUUUAGACACAGUUAAGUGAGAAGGGCUUAAAUGGCAGUGAAAUUUAGUAAGAAUCCAGCUGUGCUGAUACUUAGCACCAGAGGUAGUAACCCGAACUAUCUACCCACAGUGUGCUUAGUCUGUAUUCACUUGUACUGAUCUUUCUUUUCUAUAUACGUGAUGUUACAGCUGACUAGUCUCUCAGUAAUGCGUGUUUGGGUUUUGCUUACCUGACAUGCUGAGGACAAAACACUUCACUUGUCAAAGAUUUAAAAAAACCCCAACCUUGUCUUUGCACUCUUCAGAAACACUCAUUUUAUGUUGAUUGUUUUUUAACAGGCAUCUGGCAUUGUUACUGGGAGUACGACCAUCUUAAAAGAAUACCUGGAUCUGACCUCACUGUUUAUGAUACUGGAUUCCAGAGAGACUUCAGAGUGUGCCUGCAGCUGAGGCAAACAUGGUUAGCUUUUAGGGCGCUGCUGGCGGCUGGUUACUGGGUGUUACUGGGCACCUUCCUCUCCCCCCAUACCCCGCCCCGGCCUCAUCACCUUCCUCCAAGUGGCAAAUCUGCCCAUCGUCAUCCUCAGCAGGGUGAGGGGGUCACCCCUUGGGGGGGGUUAAGCCCUGGGUCACCAUAAGCCCCCCCUGAAUUGACCCAGUACUUUGUUCCCUCCUAUUCAACCCAAUG